UGGGGGAUAUUGCGCAAUGGGGGCAACCCUGACGCAGCAACGCCGCGUGAAGGAUGAAGGUUUUCGGAUUGUAAACUUCUUUUAUUAAGGACGAAACUUGACGGUACUUAAUGAAUAAGCUCCGGCUAACUACGUGCCAGCAGCCGCGGUAAUACGUAGGGAGCAAGCGUUGUCCGGAUUUACUGGGUGUAAAGGGUGCGUAGGCGGCUUUGCAAGUCAGAUGUGAAAUCUAUGGGCUCAACCCAUAAACUGCAUUUGAAACUGUAGAGCUUGAGUGAAGUAGAGGCAGGCGGAAUUCCCCGUGUAGCGGUGAAAUGCGUAGAGAUGGGGAGGAACACCAGUGGCGAAGGCGGCCUGCUAGGCUUUAACUGACGCUGAGGCACGAAAGCGUGGGUAGCAAACAGGAUUAGAUACCCUGGUAGUCCACGCUGUAAACGAUGAUUACUAGGUGUGGGGGGUCUGACCCCUUCCGUGCCGGAGUUAACACAAUAAGUAAUCCACCUGGGGAGUACGGCCGCAAGGUUGAAACUCAAAGGAAUUGACGGGGGCCCGCACAAGCAGUGGAGUAUGUGGUUUAAUUCGAAGCAACGCGAAGAACCUUACCAGGUCUUGACAUCCAACUAACGAAGUAGAGAUACAUUAGGUGCCCUUCGGGGAAAGUUGAGACAGGUGGUGCAUGGUUGUCGUCAGCUCGUGUCGUGAGAUGUUGGGUUAAGUCCCGCAACGAGCGCAACCCUUGCUAUUAGUUGCUACGCAAGAGCACUCUAAUAGGACUGCCGUUGACAAAACGGAGGAAGGUGGGGACGACGUCAAAUCAUCAUGCCCCUUAUGACCUGGGCUACACACGUACUACAAUGGAUGUUAACAGAGGGAAGCAAGACAGCGAUGUGGAGCAAACCCCUAAAAACAUUCUCAGUUCAGAUUGCAGGCUGCAACCCGCCUGCAUGAAGAUGGAAUUGCUAGUAAUCGCGGAUCAGCAUGCCGCGGUGAAUACGUUCCC
rnacentral:rRNA from 2 species